rnacentral:lncRNA from 1 species
GCUCGAAGACUGAGCUCAGGCGGUGCAACCUCCUGACUGGGGCGGUUGCACCGCCCAGUCUCGCUUGGAGACUGCCUCCUGGGCGGUGCUACCUCCUACCCUAGCGGUGCUACCUCCUAGCACUAUUUCAGGUCCGAAUGGGUUGAUCCAUUCGGCCUAAUUUGGGUCUUUCAGGGGCCCGAUUGCCCCAAGAUUAAGUUAAUGGGAUCACCUCCCAUUUCUAACUUAAUCAUUGUGCUAACUACGAUUAUUUCCUAAGACAUUUA